AACGAACGCUGGCGGCAUGCCUAACACAUGCAAGUCGAACGAGACCUUCGGGUCUAGUGGCGCACGGGUGCGUAACGCGUGGGAAUCUGCCCUUGGGUUCGGAAUAACAGUUGGAAACGACUGCUAAUACCGGAUGAUGACGUAAGUCCAAAGAUUUAUCGCCCCGGGAUGAGCCCGCGUAGGAUUAGCUAGUUGGUGGGGUAAAGGCCUACCAAGGCGACGAUCCUUAGCUGGUCUGAGAGGAUGAUCAGCCACACUGGGACUGAGACACGGCCCAGACUCCUACGGGAGGCAGCAGUGGGGAAUAUUGGACAAUGGGCGAAAGCCUGAUCCAGCAAUGCCGCGUGAGUGAUGAAGGCCUUAGGGUUGUAAAGCUCUUUUACCCGGGAUGAUAAUGACAGUACCGGGAGAAUAAGCCCCGGCUAACUCCGUG
rnacentral:rRNA from 1 species